CCUAUGGGGUGCAGCAGUUAGGAAUUUUCUGCAAUGUACGAAAGUAUGACAGAUUGAGUCAGAGUGCUUUUCAUAUGAAAAGCUUUUGCCAAAUGUAAAAAGUUUGGCGAAUAAGGACUGGGUAAGACGAGUGCCAGCCGCCGCGGUAAUACUCGCGGUCCAAGUCGCAGCCAUCAUUAUUGGGUCUAAAACAUCCGUAGCUUGCUUAAUAAGUUUCUUGUGAAAUUCCAUGUCUCAAAUAUGGAGCGGGCAAGAAGUACUGUUAAGCUAGAGACUGGAAGACGUAAGAAGUACGUUUGGAGUAGCGGUAAAAUGUGUUAAUCCCAGACGGACUAACAACAGCGAAGGCAUCUUACGAGGACAGUUCUGACAGUAAGGGAUGAAGGCUAGGGGCGCAAAAGGGAUUAGAUACCCCCGUAGUCC
rnacentral:rRNA from 1 species